AUGAAACCCACGAGUUACAAUAUUGUAGCACUUCCCUUAGCUUCCGUCUCCUCUUUUCCUGCCCACGCUAGCUGCACCAUGAACGAUGAGAUGGUUGACGUUACGAGUUCGAGCGCCGAAGGCGAUCUGCAGCAGUGGGCGACUGGGUGGGGUAUUGGGCGCGAGGCGGCCAAGCUUAACCAUGUCCGGCGACACCUCAAUUCGGUGCUCACCGAGGCGGAGGGGAAGGAGAUCCAUAACGCGCAGCUGGCGCGAUCUCUCAAGGAAGCCCGUCAUAUGGCUUCGCACGGCGAGGACCUCUGGAGCGGGCUGGACUACUACCGCAUCCAGGAACACCACCACGACGGCGCGGAAGGUCGUCGGGUGGAUGGAUGGCAUGGGGGAGAAGAGCCUCAAGAUCUCUUGGCUGAGGAAGGUGGGGAAUCGGGGACCGCAGUUGUCCACGACAUGCAACAGGUUGCCAAAGACACCACAGAAGAACAUUCAUCUUCAGCACUGGCUGCUCUUCAAAUUGUGCCCUAUGCCAAUGUUUCCAACCCAAUAGUCCCGUCCACCAGCAGCAACACUCGCCCGGAAUGGCAUCUUGGCGUAUCACGUGAGAUAGAUGAACACGUUAAGGCCUGCAUCAGGAUGACCAGCAAUCUGCAAGAGGCCCUUGUGUUAGAACAUCUGGAUGACCGUUAUGUUAUUGCGCAGAGCACAGGGGCGACUGAUCCUCGGGAGACGUCAUCUUGUCCCACCAAACCCAAAGUUUAUGGUAGGGACCAAGAUCGGGACCUUGUAAUAAGUAAGUUAACAAGCAAGGAAUCUGCUGCUGAGAAAAACCUCUCCGUCCUUGCCAUAAUCGGUUACGGAGGAAUUGGGAAGACUACCCUGGCUAAUGUGGUUUUCAAUGACUCUGCUGUGUCAAAUCAUUUUGACGCGCGGUUAUGGGUCUAUGUUUCUGGCUAUUUUGACCAAGCUAAGAUUAUGCACAGAAUGCUCGAGUCCUUGACUGGGGACGACAGGCAUGAAAACAUCAAGGGUUUGAAGGAGCUGCAGGGCACCCUUGAAUCUGCACUGAAAUCAAAAAGGGUGCUACUUGUGUUGGAUGACAUGUGGGAAGAUAGGCAACAGCAAAAAUGGGAUGAGCUGCUAACUCCACUGCUUUCCAGUGAUGUUCCGGGGAAUAAAAUUCUCGUGACAACUCGAAAGCCAUCUGUUGCAAAAUUGAUUAAAGCUACAGAUCAGAUUAGUCUGAAUGGUAUAAAUGAAGACGACUUCUGGGAUUUUUUUAAAGAAUGUGCCUUUGGAGAUGAGAACUACAAAGUUGAACCAAGGCUGAAGAAAAUUGGAAAGGACAUACUUGUCCAGUUAAAAGGUAAUCCUUUAGCAGCAAAAAGUGUUGCCAAAUUAUUGAGAAAGAAUCAUACUGUUGAUUUCUGGAGGAGAAUUCUGAAAGAUAGUGAAUGGAAACAACAAGCAGAUGACUACGAUAUCAUGCCGGCCCUGAUGAUCAGCUACAAAUAUUUACCGGUGCACCUCCAGCGGUGCUUCUCAUACUGUGCUGUUUUCCCAAAGUAUUAUAAGUAUGAGAAAGAAUGUUUGGUCAAUAUGUGGAUAGCCCAAGGUUUGAUAUGUUCCACUGACAACAUGCAUAAACGAACGGAGGACAUUGGAAUUGAAUUUUUCAGUGACCUAGUUGAAUGGGGAUUUCUUCAAAAGGAAUUUGAACUUAUGACCACACAUAUCAUGCAUGAUCUCAUUCAUGAUUUGGCACAGAAGGUUUCAUCUCAUGAAACCUUCACCAUAGGGGACACUGAGUCUAGAAAGGCACCACAGCUUGUUCGUCAUGUCAGUAUAAUUGCUGAGUGGGUGUAUAAGACAGAAAUAGAUGGCACCGUGCAUCCUAAUGAGACUUUCCUCCGUGGAUUUUUUAAAUCAUUUGGUGAGCUGCAACAAACUAGUAGUAACUUGAGCACAUUGUUGCUGUUUGGUCCACAUGACUUUGAAUUUGCACACUCAUUCCGCCAAGAAUUCACUGAGGUGAAGUCAGUCCGUGUGUUGAAAUUAGACAUGGUGCUCUCUGAUCUGGAUUUAAUGAUCGGAAACAUUUCCUCAUUUAUUAAUCUUCGCUAUCUGGAGUUGGGCUGCUUUUAUAAGGGCCCCAGGUUGGAACUGCCAGAGGCUAUAUGUGUGCUUUAUCAUUUGGAAGUACUUGAUAUAAAGAAAAACUGGGGAAAUAGCACAGUUUUACCAAGAGACAUGAACAAGUUUGUUAAGUUACGCCAUUUUAUUGCCAGGGAUGAGUUGCAUGCAAAAAUAGCGGGUGUUGGGGAGAUGGUUUCCCUUCAAGAGCUCAAGGCAUUUGAUGUCCGAAAGGCAAGUGAGUUCAGCAUAAUGCAGUUCAGAAGAUUGAAUCAGCUCAGAGGAUCAAUUAGGAUUUGCAAUCUUGGUGAUGUAGGAAGCAAAGACGAGGCCAUCAACGCAAGAAUCUCUGAGAAGGUCCACCUCACUGGUUUGCAUUUAUCGUGGAACACUGUGUCUGAGGAUAGAGUUCAUACUGAAAGUAAUGUUGAUAUCCUCGAGGAUCUGAAACCACAUGCCGGACUUAUAGAUCUGGGAAUCAUAGCAUACCGUCAUCCUGUACCUUCAUGGCUCAGCAACAAUAUUCACCUCACCUCAUUGCGGUCACUUCAUCUGGAUAGCUGCUCUUACUGGAAAACGAUUCCAACACCCCACCAAUUGCCUCUGCUCCGUGAGUUGAGGUUGAGUAAUAUGGUUCGUGUUUCCAAAAUAGAGAUUGGCUGUUUGGAGAUAUUGGAACUACACACUUUGCACCGUUUAACACAGUGCAUAGUUUUGGACAAGGAGCAGUUAUCUGUGAAUCUGCGAGUUCUUGAGAUAGAUGACUGCAUUAGAUUGAAGGAAUUCCCCUUGCUGUCUAUCUCUAAAGAUACGCUAAUAAGUGAUUGUCAGUUUACUCAUCUUCACAGGCUUUGGGUUCGCGGUUGCUUUGUUCACAUGAGCAUCUCACAACUUCUGCACAUGGAUUCUUUAUUGUAUAUAGAUUUGUUCUUGAGGCCAAGUUUGGAGCAAUUUCGACUUGUACCGAUUGGCCAAUCAGAUGGGCUGCGCAUGGAAAUCAAAGGAACUGCGGAAGUUAAGAGCAAAGAUGAAAAAUUGUUCCCAUUCAACAAACUCAGGGACUUGGAGGAGCUUGAAAUAACAGAUUAUCCAGGUCUGAUGUGCCUGCCAUGGGAAGGCCUUCAAAAGUUGGCAUCAUUGAAAAAAUUUAAGAUGAGUAACUUCGGCAAACUAUUUUCUUGCAUAUCUGGGCUCUAUCUGCCUCCAUCAGUCCAAGAACUUGAGUUUAAUCGGUGCAACAUCACAAUGAAACAACUGUCGCAUGUCCUGCUGAGCCUUCCGUUGCUCAAGAAAUUCAGUUUAACUAGUUGUGAAGAGGUGACAUCUUUACCUAUAGGUCUGUUUACAGAUGAACACAACCAAACAGUGGAAGGCUCCUGGCAUAUCCCUCCCAGCUUCUUGGCGACUCUGGAAAGCUUGGAGAUCUCAUUCAGAAUGAGAGCGCAUGCCAAAGAAAGCUCAGUGAUGCAAUUUUGGAGCAAGCAAUGCUUGGGGAAGUUCACCUCUCUUAAGAAAGUUGUCAUUGAAUAUUGCCCUGCUCUCCUAUCUACUGUGAUUUCAGGAGGAAUGUCCCAUAUACCUCCAUCUUCUCUGGCAACACUCCGUGUGGAUUGCAUCACAGACCGCCGUCUGCAAUUAUCAGAACUCUCUUCCCUCACCGAUUUACAUGUCAUUGAUUGCUCAUCUUUGACAUGUGUCAACUUGGAUGGUUGCACUGCAUUACGAGAGCUGUAUAUUUCAGGAUGCGGCAUGUUAUCAUCGCUUGAAGGUAUGCAGUCAUGUGAGGCAUUGCGGCAGUUUAGCAUCUAUGAUUGCAAGGCGCUUCGUUCGCUCAGAGUAUCGCUCGGCAGCCUCGCAACACUGAGCAUAGAGAGCAAUCCCAAUUUGGCAUAUGUAGACCUGAAUUCUUGUACGGCGCUGCAGAAACUGUGCAUCAAAGGCUGCGCUACAACAGCGUCGUGGGAUGGUCUUAAAUCCCUUGGUGCUCUCGGGGACUUGAAAGUUGAAAAUUCUCCAGGCUUCACAAGGUCAUGGCAAUUAGCAUCGGCAGAAGUUGAGAGCAAGCAUAGCAGCUACUUCCCGCGAAGACUGCAAGUGCUUGAUAUUGAUGACAUUGGUGUCCUAUGUGUGCCCAUUUGCAGUCAGUUAACCUCUCUGAAGACACUCACCAUUCAUGGAUCUAUUUAUUGUCGGCGUGACUAUGGGGACGCUUUGACGGAUGACCAUGAGAGAGCACUGCUACUUGUCACCUCCUUGAGAGACCUCGAAUUUGAUCAGUUUAAGCAUCUCCGGUCACUGCCUGCAGGGCUUGAAUGCCUUACAACGCUGCAGAGGCUAACUGUUAGCAGAUGUGAACUUAUCACGUCCCUACCAGCGGGGGGUAUCCCGGCAUCGCUCAGGGACAUGGAAAUCCAUGGUUGCAGCGAAGAGCUAACUGCACAAUGCCGAGCAAUGUGCAGAGAUCGAAAGAUAUAUUUUGGCGUUGGUGCUUAUACCGUUGGCUCGAUAGAAACAGAUUAG
rnacentral:rRNA from 1 species